rnacentral:rRNA from 1 species
GAUUAACGCUAGCGGCAGGCCUAAUACAUGCAAGUCGAACGGGAUUCAAAGUAGCAAUAUUUUGAUGAGAGUGGCGCACGGGUGAGUAACACGUAUGCAAUUUACCUUUAACUGGGGGAUAGCCCUCCGAAGGAGGAUUAAUACCGCAUAAUAUAUUGAAAUGGCAUCAUUUUAAUAUUAAAACCUAACGGGGGUUAAAGAUGAGCAUGCAUCCGAUUAGCUAGUUGGUGUGGUAACGGCUCACCAAGGCAACGAUCGGUAGGGGUCUGAGAGGAUGAUCCCCCACACUGGUACUGAGACACGGACCAGACUCCUACGGGAGGCAGCAGUAAGGAUAUUGGACAAUGGAGGCAACUCUGAUCCAGCCAUGCCGCGUGAAGGAUUAAGGCCCUAUGGGUUGUAAACUUCUUUU